rnacentral:rRNA from 1 species
AGCUUUAAGCCAAUAUUUAAAGUACAGCCUGCUCAAUGAAAUAUUAAAUAGCCGCAGUAUUUACUGUGCUAAGGUAGCAUAAUAAUUAGCUUCUUAAUUAGAAGAUAGAAUGAAUGGCUAAACGAGAAACUACUGUCUCAUAAAUUAUAAUAAAAUUACUAUUUUAGUUAAAAAUCUAAUAUUCUCAUGAAAGACGACAAGACCCUAACAAACUUUCCAUUUAGUUGGGGCAACAAAAUAAAAAAACCUUAUUAUACAAAUAAAACAACAAUAUGUAAUAUAAACUAGUUACUGUAGGGAUAACAGCGCAAUCCUUUUUUAGAGCCCUCAUUAAAAAAAGACAUUACGACCUCGAUGUUGAAUUAGUUUUCCCAAAUGGAGCAGUAUCUAUCUUGGGUGCGGUCUGUUCGACCAAUAUUUAAAC